GUGGGACAGGACAGUAGCAGGUGGGACAGGCCCCAUGCUCAGGUCUGGUCUUGCUUCAGAGUUGGAGCGUAGUGGCCCUUUCCACUUCUAUGACGCUGUGGACGGCCAGCUGCAGGGCAGUGUGGAGCUGGGAGCCCUGGGACAAGGGAAGAUCUCAGGUGGAGCUGCAGUGUCCGGCAGCUCCAGUGCUUCCAUGAACGUGUGCACGCUGCGUGUGGACCCAAACACUUGGGAGAUCAUGCAACAGGAGAGGUGAGCUCUGGAGGGACUGAGGUCCCUGACCCUGUGCAGCCACACAUAUGGGGAGGCCACUGGGUCAUGGACAUCAGGAGAAUCCCAAGGCCAUGCCUGUGUGCCAGCAAGGAGAGUCUAAGAUGCAAGGGAGCGCUGUGGCCAUGGUGGGCUGCCAGGGAAGGAGGCGGCACAGUCACCCAGACCUCAGUUGCAAGGACAUAUCAUGAAGGCAGGGACCUGGGGAUCAAACUGAGCCUCAGGCUCAGUGUAGAGGAGAGUAAAGGCUAGCGGGUGCCCCGGGGUCCCAUGGGUCCACUUCUCCCUGCUGGACCUCAUCCCUCCUCUUCACACCCACCUAGACACUGUUGGGAGUACCCAGGAAGGGUACCCAUGCCUGGCAUCUGCAGACUCCCAGAUGCCCUUGCCACUUCACCCCACCCAUCGUGGGGCAGUGGGGAGGCCAGUCUGUGGUGGACAUACCCCAGUGAGCUUCCUGCAGGCGCCUGCGGCAGCCCGAACACAAGAUCCUGGAGCAGCUGAGGAAUCGCAGGGACAAUGUGUAUGUGGUGACGGAGGUGCUACAGACCCAGGAAGAGGUGAAGGUCACCCAAACCCGCAAGAAGGAGGGCUCGGGCCAGUUUGCACUGCCUGGAAACAUGUGCCUUCAGGUGUGUGGCCGGCCCUCAGCCCAUCUUGGCCUGACAUGAACGCAGGGUGGCAGCAGGCGAGGUUUUGCCAAGAGCCCUGCAGGAGCAGUUCACAGCCCCACGCUUGACCCAGGGCUCCCCAAAGCCUGGGUUGGCUGACACCAGUAGCAAGCUUGUUACUAGCACCCAGCCCACACCACACCCCACGUCCCCACACCUAGGGCCCAGUCCUGCUAUGUCUAUUCGUCCCUCAGGGUGAGAGCCAGGGCCACCUGAGCCGGAAGAAUACGGUCACCGUCCCUGCAGGCAGCACCCUUGCAUUUCGAGUGGCCCAACUCAUCAUUGGCUCUGACUGGGGUCAGUAGAGCUGGGGAUGUCUCUGGGGCCCAGACGCCAUGGAGAGGUGGAAGGCCUUGGGAGGGCCACCAGCUGCCUAGGGGCUGCUGCAGGCAUCUGCUGCUCAACCUCCCAGGGCUCUGGUGUGUGGAAGACUGAGGCAAGGCCUCACCUGGGGAGGGGGCCUGUGCAGGAGGGGAUCCUGGUGACCUCCUUCCCCUCUCUGCUCCCACCCAUCGCCAGACAUACUCUUCUUCCCGGAUGAGAAGCAGAGGACCUUCCCACGGUCCCCCAAAGGUGAGCCCUGCCUGUCCAAAGGGAGAACCCUUCCUUUGCUAUUAAGGCCUUCUCCUGUGUUCAGGACCCGUGGUGCUGGACAGCCUCCCCAAAGGACAGGCUCCUCGUUUGCACACACAGGGGUCACAUCCAGGUGUCACGGCCCUCUGUGGUCUCACACCUGCUCUGGGCUGCCAGCGUUGGGGAUGGGGCCAGGGAGGAAGGCCUCAGCCCUCUUCGGCUCAGGGACCUACUCUGGCACUAAGCCAUGCUGUCCUCCCUCCCCUGUCCUCACACCUCUGCCCAGGCCACAAACCUCCCCGAGGGGCAGGCAGCUCACUGAAGCAAGCCUUCAGACUCUCCUCCAUGUUAGAGUCCAUCCACGACCGCCUCAAGUUCCUGUCAGGUUUGUGAACUUUUGAUACCUCUUGGACCCCUGUGGGCUCUCCUUCUGCUCCUGGGGUGUGCCCUUCCUGUCCAGGGCUCUCCAGGGCUCUCUGUCCCCAUAGAUGGGCCACUUGAAGAGCUGGUUGUCACUGAAGACUUCCAGGGCCUGCAGGCAGAGGUGCAGGCUGGCUCUGAGGAACUGGAGCACAUGGAAAAGAACCUGAGACAGCAGCUGCUGGGGGCCCUGGGGAGGAUCCUCAAGGACCCGCUGGCCCUGCAAGCUUUAGAGUCCUCAGUAAGUGGGGCUGUGUGGGGGUGGAAGGGUCUGCCCAGCCAGCUCAGGCUCAUGCACCCUGUCUGUGCCCCAGCUGGAGCAGGGCCUAUGCUAUGGCGGGCAAGUGGAGCAGCUGGAUGGCCCGGCAGGUGCUGUCCUCGAGUGCCUGGUGCUCCCCUCCAGGACGCCUGUGCCAGAACUUGCCGCCCCUGUCUUCUACUUGUUGGGGGCGCUGACGGGUGAGUGACCUCUGGGGAGUAGAUGUGGGACAGAGGGAAGGACUAGGUUCCCCACUAGGCCUCCCUGAGCCCCCUCUCAGACCAUGUCUCUCCCCAGUGCUGAGUGAAACGCAGCGUGAGCUGCUGGCUGACUUGCUGGAGACAGGGACCCUGUUGGAGCAGCUCAAGCUGGUGAGAGGGCACAGCAUGGGGGCUGGAAUGGGCCCUGGGACACCUGUAAGGGCAGAGCAUGCCCAGGGACUCAGGACUAGCUCUUCCACCCAUAACCUCCUACCCUCCUGCAGGUGGAGCACCUCUUGCAGCAGAGCACCCCAUGGCAGGAGCAGAAGGCUGUGUCCUUGCCCCCUGGGCUCCUUGGGAGUAGCUGGGGCAAGGAGGCCCCAGGGUGGACCCUGCUGGAGGAAUGUGGCCUGGUGCUGCAGGUGGGCGCCCCCCAUGUGUGCUGGGAACCUCAGGCCCAGGGCCCCACGUGUGCGCUCUAUGCCUCCCUGACCCUGCUGUCAGGGCUACAUGAGGAGCCCCGUUAACCUGCACGCUGGGCAGCUCUCCAGCCAGGCACCCCCCUGCCAGCCCUAGGAAGGCUGAAAGCCCAUUUAACUACAGGGCCAGCUCACUCAGAGGCCCAGGAGUUGGGAAAACUCAAUAAAUAUGAUGUACAAAGGAAAGAAUGGUAACAGUUCUGUUUUUGA
rnacentral:lncRNA from 1 species